GGCUCGAGGCAAGUGUCUAUACUUGAUAA
rnacentral:piRNA from 1 species